UGAGGUUGGCGGUCAGUCGGUCCAGAUCCGGAGAGAAUGUGCAAAUCGCACAGAGAGAGAGAGAGAAACAGAGAGAGAGAGAGAGGGAGAAGGAAAAAGUUUUGAAUCCCUGAAUGAAUUUGUAGAAAGGCGGCUUAGGAUCAUUAUGUCAGCUUUAUUGAGGACGGAUUAAGCAGAGUCUAGAUGCUACGCCUUAUACUCGGCUCUUUCACAAUGUGGGCACUGUUC
rnacentral:sRNA from 1 species